GACAUUAUUGAAUUGAACCUUUGGCUGGAUGCUGUUGUGGCUGGCCCUUUGGGGCAAUGUGCACACCUCUUGCCAUUUGUUUUCUUUCUGUUCCACCUGUGCACUGCUUGUAGACACUCUUGGUGUCUAUGAUAUUGUUAUCACACACACAUGCAUAAUGAUAUAAUGGGAUGUAUUAAAAAUACAACUUUCAGCAAUGGAUCUCUUGGCUCUCGCAUCGAUGAAGAACACAGCGAAAUGUGAUAAGUAAUGUGAAUUGCAGAAUCCAGUGAAUCAUCGAAUCUUUGAACGCAUCUUGCGCUCCUUGGCAUUCCGAGGAGCAUGCCUGUUUGAGUGUCAUUAAACUGUCAAAACAAUACUUUUCAUGGGUUGUUUUGGAUUUUGGGAGUACUCUGCUGGUCUGUUUGAGCCCAGCUCUCCUCAAAAGCAUUAGCUCGGAGACCAUCAGUGUUGAUAAUUGCUCUUUGUUUACACUGACCUGAGUGUCUCUGCUUCACCUCAUUUUUAAACCCCCUUUGACCUCAAAUCAGGUAGGACUACCCGCUGAACUUAAGCAUAUCAAUAA
rnacentral:rRNA from 1 species